GUUACAAAGGAAAAUGUUAGACGAAUCAUCUGGAAAGAUGAAUCAAAGAAGGUAAUAAUCCUGUAGUUGAAAAUGUUUUCUCUCUUGAGUGGAUCCUGAGUACGACGGAGCACGUGAAAUUCCGUCGGAAUCUAGGAGGACCAUCUCCUAAGGCUAAAUACUCUCUAGUGACCGAUAGUGAACCAGUACCGU
rnacentral:rRNA from 1 species